AGUUUCUUUCAAAAUAACAGAACAAUUUCAAACAGUUUUAACCAAAAAAAUAAAACAUAAAGAAAAGCAAAUUCUUGGAAAAAGAAAAAAGAAUUUUGUUUUCUGUACAGCAAACAGAAACAGAAAGCUGUAACCUUUUUCCUGAGAAACCACAAAAACAAGGGAGGAGAUAUCAAGAAACCAAAACUAAUAGAAUUUAUCAUCUUUAUAUCAGCAUUUCCUUUUAAUCUUUCUCUUUAAAGGAGAAUUCUUGGAGCUUAUACCAUUUCUUGAUAUGCCAGAAAAAGGUUUGAGCUCAUCACCAUCACCAAAUCAUCAAUCAUGGCUAUUCAGGUCAAGUCCUUUGCUUCAAUGGAGGUUUCAUAUUCUUACAGCUUUAGUUUUUGUUGGUAUGGUUACUGUUUGGAGCAUAGACGGAUGCACUAUAAAGAAUGUUAUUGAAUCUUGGAGGUUCAGGCAAGAAGAGUAUUUGAGAAAAGUUACGUCACAGCCUUCAAAUGCCACAAAUCUAACCCAAAGCAACACCACUGAUACAACUGAAACUAGCAGUUCCAGCUAUAAUAUACUCAACAACGAUAACUCUAGCUAUGUUCCUGCUUCUAAUUAUUCAGACGGGUUUCUCGAGAAGCCACUGGAGAAAGAAUCAGAAGAAGCUCAUGCAAAGUGGGUAUCAGCUGAUGUGCAGCAAAAUAUAACUUCUCAUCAGAAUCUUUCAGCUGGGUUUCUUGAAAAGCCAAUAGAGAAUGAAUUAGAAGCUAAUGUGAAGUGGGUAUCAGCAAUAUUAGAGCCAGAUUUGACCCCAAAUCUUCUUUCAAGGUGGCUUGCUCCUGGAGGUGAGCCAUGUAAAGAUUCACGUACAGUGGAUAUUGUAAUUCCUGGAUUGGAUGGUCGAAAUUUAAUUGAGCUGACUGCUGGGAAUAGUCAUGAAUUUAUUUUUCAAGCGGUGGACGAGUUCAAGAAUCCGCUGUGUUUAGGUGGGGAUUAUUUUGAAACUGAUCUUUCAGGGGAAGAAUGGAAGUCUAGACCUCUAGUUCGAGAUUUUGGAAAUGGCUCUUACUCAAUUUCCCUUCAAGUUCAUCCUGAUUUUGUCGGUGAUUACAAUCUUACUGUUAUUUUGCUUUUUAGGCAUUUUGAGGGUCUGAAAUUUUCACCAUCAAGAUUUGUUUAUGAUAGAGAAUUGCGGAAGGUUCAAAUCAGGUUUGUUAAAGCUCAUUAUAAGUUGCCAGAGCUACAAAUUUGUCAAAAAUCUGAUUUUACUAAAGACCUUUGGUUAGGGAGGUGGACCAGGCAUGGAAAGAAUGAUGGUUGUGAAAUUAGUAAUGAUGGGAGGUACCGGUGCCUGCCAUCAGAUUUUCCAUGCCAAAGUCCAUGGUGUAAUGGUUCUUUAGGAUUGUUAGAGAGUAAUGGUUGGGUGUAUUCUAGUCACUGUUCCUUUAGGCUGUUUUCAGCAGAUUCAGCUUGGAAUUGCCUAAAGGGUAGAUGGAUUUUCUUUUGGGGAGAUUCAAAUCAUGUUGAUACUAUAAGGAACAUGCUCAAUUUUCUCUUGGAUUUGCCAGAUAUAAAAUCUGUUCCUAGACGUUUUGAUAGAAAUUUUUCAAAUCCAAAAGAUGCAUCUCAAUCGGUUCGGAUUACGAGCAUUUUUAAUGGUCAUUGGAAUGAGACGCAGAAUUACCUCGGAUUGGAUUCUUUGAAGGAUGAAGGAUUUAGAAACUUGUUAAAGAAAUACUUCUCAGAAGACACUGUGCCAGACACUAUAAUCCUGAAUUCUGGUUUACAUGAUGGCAUAUAUUGGAAGAAUGUUAGGAGAUUUUCUGCUGGAGCUGAUUAUGCAGUGUCAUUUUGGAAAGAAGUUGUAGAUUCUGUAAAGCAGAGAGGAUUAGUAGCUCCAAAGAUCUUUUAUCGGACCACAAUUUCCACAGGUGGGUAUGCCAGAGCACUAGCUUUUAAUCCAUACAAGAUGGAGGUAUUUAAUUGGGUGGUGUUGGAUAAAUUUAGGCAGUCAGGACUUCUUUCUGGAGUGAUUGAUAACUUCGAUAUGACUUUUCCAUGGCACUAUGACAAUCGUUGCAACGAUGGGGUACAUUAUGGCAGAGCUCCAGCGAAGAUGAAAUGGAGAGAUGGCGAGAUUGGACACCAGUACUUUGUGGACCUCAUGUUGGCUCAUGUGCUGCUAAACGUUUUGUGUUUAUGAUAGCAAAUCAAAGGAGGUGGCUGGAUUAUUCUUUUGGGAUUCAUUUUAGGAGCACUAGCAUAUCGACUUUGUGAAACUGGAUCUCUCCAUGAAUUGGAAGCGAGGCUGCUUUGCUGUUGAGUGGAGUUAGAUGGAGGAAUCUGGAAGCAAAAUUAAGAGUGAUUGUGUAUCAGGUGAAAAUGUUCUUUGAUUUGAUCAAUUUCUAAACGCAUCUCAUGUGCUUUAUGGAGGCAAACAUUCAGAUUCUGUUCCUAGCGUUACCUUGUAUCAAUUGGUUCAGAGGCCUUAAAAUCUUUAAAGAAUUUGAGGGGUCAAAAACUUGCUGACGGAAAAUCUCCCAUGCUUUGAAAAAUGUCUUCAGAAAAAGUUGUAUGCCCUCCCCAUUUUAUCUUCUUCAUAAAAAAUGUCAUGAUUACUGCACCCUCCUUUCUAUAGCAUGAUCUUGACACCAGUUGCUUUUUCACUUUUCAGCAUGCAUCACAUAUGCUUAUCAAAAUUAGUGGGUGUUUCUUGAUUCAAUACUGGUUACCAAUUGUUGUAUCAUGUUCAAUAUCAUUAUAUUCCGAGUAUUGAUUAAUAUAAGAAGUUUCCAUAUUUUGGUUUUA